rnacentral:lncRNA from 1 species
CUACACUUCAUCCGCACAAAAAUCCAAACUGUUAACAGUUCAAGGUGUGUCUCUGCUGCUUUGCUGCCCUCUAAUAUUAAGGCUAUAAAUUAUUAUCUCCGCCAGGCAGAGCUCAUAAUAACUAGCAGAUGUCUGAACUUUGCAUGAUGGGGAAGAGAUUUCACAUGGAUUAUCCAAUGACACAGCCUUCCAUAUGCACCAGGGUGUUUCAAGAUCUGUUAGCAUANCAGUGGUGUACAGAUAUAGAACCACAGCUGACAAUGUAUUCAGAGGUCUCAAUCGGCAGCCUUCCAGACGCCCCUGGAGUCAGCAUUUUAUUCCCAUUGUUCCAUACCAGUUCCAAGCAGCAGCGGAAGCAGUAUGCUGGAAGAUUUUACACAUCAUAGAUUGUAUUUUUCAGUUUCCUAUUAUGGGUCACUUACCUAAUGCAACAAACAACCUAAAUUAAGGAAUGUAUGCCAAAUUUAAAUGUUUGUUUCAGUUUAUUAAAUUAUUUGGAUGUACUAGAAAAUUUAAGAAUCUUUUGUACAUUUGUGCAGCCUUUUUCCUCUUGUCUACUGAUGUGCAGUAUAUUAACAAAACAAANAGUAGAAGGG